AUUGAUCCAUUUUCAGUAAAGAAAAGACACUCCAUUUACAUCUUUCUCUCUCUCACGCCUAAGCAACACAAAUCUCACUCCUUUUUCUUUCUCUCUCUCGUUUCUUCAUUUCUUCAAGGAGCAAACACCAACUCAUUUCUUUAAGUUAAUUGCAUGUGAACACCUCUUGCAUAAAUCAUGAAGUUAGAUUGUGAGGACAACAACCCAUGGAAAUAAAAGACAUUUUUAUUUCUCUCUUCCUUUUUGUUUGGCCGCAAACCCUUUUCCAUGGUGUCUAAACCCAAAUUCAAUUUCUUCAUCAUCUAUGAGAAAACUUGCAUGUAUGGUGGUCAUCACUUCCCUCAUGAACUAUUAGUACUUAGUAUUUGGUUUGAGUUGUUGUUGUGCAGAAAGUAAGGUAAGGAACUCACUCUUCAUUUACAAAAGUAUACAUGAGUUUUCUCUUGUUGAAUCCAAACAUUUAAUCUUAACCCCACACAUGAAUAGAUGUUUACCUCUUCAUUUACUUUGAUUGCAUGUGAUGGAUUGAGUAAUUGCAAACUGUGGAUGUUUGGAAAAUCAAGUUGAGGUUAUUAUAAAGAAUCAUUGUUGGUUGAGGAAUGAAUGAAAGACUGUGGAAAUAGAAUUGGAGAAAGUUAGAAUUAGAAAGCUGACAGAAUUACCUUCGUUAUGGUGUCAAAUUCGUGGAAUUUGACUGAGAAUUGAGAUCUGGAGACCAGUUUGAAGUUGAGGGUCUGAUAUGGAAAUUGUGCAGAAAAUUCUGUUUACCGGUUUAAACUGCUUUUGCUGCAAAUUCUGCAUUUCGGCGAGUUCCAGAAAUAUCGAUUGUAUUGUUCAAGCGUCAACUCAGAUAAACAGGUUGAUCGAGAUAUCAUGGUCUGCAUGCAUGAAGUUCAGAUGCUUGGAUUAUGCUAGUUGAGUUGACGUCAUGUUAUCUUAUAUUGUGAAUAAGAUUUAGUUUCUUUAUGUUUUCAGUUGUUAGCUCAAUUUAAUAUUAAUCACUUGGAUUUUUGUAAUCCUAUUUAUGUAUUCGGACGAUAUGUAAUGAAAAUUUAAAGUUUCCCGGUUCAGUUA